GACGAACCGUGCGAACGUUGUUCGGAAUCACUGGGCUUAAAGGGCGCGUAGGCGGGUUCGCAAGUCAGGGGUGAAAUCUUUCAGCUUAACUGGAAAACAGCCCCUGAUACUGCGAGUCUCGAGGGAGGUAGGGGCAUGUGGAACUUCCGGUGGAGCGGUGAAAUGCGUAGAUAUCGGAAGGAACACCAGUGGCGAAGGCGACCACCUGGACUGAUACUGACACUGAGGUGCGAAAGCGUGGGGAGCAAACAGG
rnacentral:rRNA from 1 species